rnacentral:rRNA from 1 species
GACGAACGCUGGAGGCGCGCCUAACACAUGCAAGUCGAACGGACGAGAAGGAGCUUGCUCCUUCGAGUUAGUGGCGGACGGGUGAGUAACACGUGAGCAAUCUGCCCUUAGGAGGGGGAUAAACGCUGGAAACGGCGCCUAAUACCCCAUACUAUCGCUAUGCUGCAUGGCAUGGCGAUGAAAACUCCGGUGGUGGCGGAUGGGCAUGCGGCGCAUUAGCUAGUUGGAGGGGUAACGGCCCACCAAGGCGACGAUGCGUAGGGGUUCUGAGAGGAUGAACGGCCACAUUGGGACUGAGACACGGCCCAAACUCCUACGGGAGGCAGCAGUGGGGAAUAUUGGGCAAUGGGCGAAAGCCUGACCCAGCAACGCCGCGUGAAGGAAGAAGGUCUUCGGAUCGUAAACUUCUGUCCUAAGUGAAGAGAAGAAGACGGUAGCUUAGGAGGAAGCCCCGGCUAACUACGUG